rnacentral:tRNA from 1 species
CGGAGCGUAGCGCAGCUUGGUUAGCGCACUGGUCUGGGGGACCAGGGGUCGGAGGUUCAAAUCCUCUCGCUCCGACCA